ACCAUCCUUGUCUGGGGAGCGAACUGCCCGAGGAACGUAAGUGAGGGUACGUUUGCUGAAACCAAACAAUUAAAUCCCGCAUCCCACCCUUCGGGGAGGAGUUGCAAUUUUUGAAGCC